rnacentral:rRNA from 1 species
GUAGUCCACGCUGUAAACGGUGGGUACUAGGUGUGGGGUCCAUUCCACGGGUUCCGUGCCGUAGCUAACGCUUUAAGUACCCCGCCUGGGGAGUACGGCCGCAAGGCUAAAACUCAAAGGAAUUGACGGGGCCCCGCACAAGCGGCGGAGCAUGCGGAUUAAUUCGAUGCAACGCGUAGAACCUUACCUGGGUUUGACAUGGAUCGGGAGUGCUCAGAGAUGGGUGUGCCUCUUUUGGGGUCGGUUCACAGGUGGUGCAUGGCUGUCGUCAGCUCGUGUCGUGAGAUGUUGGGUUAAGUCCCGCAACGAGCGCAACCCUUGUUCACUGUUGCCAGCACGUUAUGGUGGGGACUCAGUGGAGACCGCCGGGGUCAACUCGGAGGAAGGUGGGGAUGACGUCAAGUCAUCAUGCCCCUUAUGUCCAGGGCUUCACGCAUGCUACAAUGGCUGGUACAGAGAGUGGCGAGCCUGUGAGGGUGAGCGAAUCUCGGAAAGCCGGUCUCAGUUCGGAUUGGGGUCUGCAACUCGACCUCAUGAAGUCGGAGUCGCUAGUAAUCGCAGAUCAGCAACGCUGCGGUGAAUACGUUCCCGGGGCUUGUACACACCGCCCCGUCAAGUCAUGAAAGUUGGUAACACCCGAAGCCGGUGGCCUAACCGUUGUGGGGAGCCGUCGAAGGUGGGACUGGUGAUUAGGACUAAGUCGUAACAAGGUAGCCGUACCGGAAGG